GAGAAUGCCGGUGUGAGUAGCGAAAACAGAGGUGAGAAUCCUCUGCACCGAAAGCCUACGGUUUCCUGAGGAAGGCUCGUCCGCUCAGUGUUAGUCGGGACCUAAGCCGAUGCCGAAAGGCGUAGGCGAUGGACAACAGGUUGAUCUUCCUGUACCACCUCCUCACCGAUUGAGCAAUGGGGGGACGCAGGAGGAUAGGGUCAGCGCGCGACUGGUUGUGCGCGUCCAAGCAGUUAGGCGCCUCAAGUAGGCAACUCCGCUUGAGUAGGCUGAGCUGUGAUGGCGAGGGCAAUAAAGUACCGAAGUGCCUGAUUCCACACUGCCAAGAAACGCCUCUAGCGAGGUGAGAGGUGCCCGUACCGCAAACCGACACAGGUAGGCGAGGAGAGAAUCCUAAGGUGCGCGGGAGCACUCUCGUUAAGGACCACGCCAAAAUGA
rnacentral:rRNA from 1 species